UACGAAGGGGGCAAGCGUUGUUCGGAAUUACUGGGCGUAAAGGGCGCGUAGGCGGCCGAUCAAGUCAGGCGUGAAAUUCCCGGGCUCAACCUGGGGGCUGCGCUUGAUACUGAUUGGCUUGAAUGCGGGAGAGGAUAGUGGAAUUCCCAGUGUAGAAGUGAAAUUCGUAGAUAUUGGGAAGAACACCGGUGGCGAAGGCGGCUAUCUGGCCCGUAAUUGACGCUGAGGCGCGAAAGCGUGGGGAGCAAACAGG
rnacentral:rRNA from 1 species